AACGAACGCUGGCGGCAUGCCUUACACAUGCAAGUCGAACGGCAGCACGGGGGCAACCCUGGUGGCGAGUGGCGAACGGGUGAGUAAUAUAUCGGAACGUGCCCUAGAGUGGGGGAUAACGUAGCGAAAGUUACGCUAAUACCGCAUACGCUCUAAGGAGGAAAGUGGGGGACCCGUAAGGGCCUCAUGCUCUGGGAGCGGCCGAUAUCUGAUUAGCUAGUUGGUGGGGUAACGGCCUACCAAGGCAACGAUCAGUAGCUGGUUUGAGAGAACGACCAGCCACACUGGGGCGGGGAAACGGCCCAGACUCCUGCGGGAGGCAGCAGUGGGGAAUUUUGGACAAUGGGGGCAACCCUGAUACAGCAAUGCCGCGUGUGUGAAGAAGGCCUUCGGGUUGUAAAGCACUUUUGGCGGGAACGAAACGGUUUUGGUUAAUACCUAAGGUCAAUGACGGUACCCGCAGAAUAAGCACCGGCUAACUACGUGCCAGCCGCCGCCGUAAAAC
rnacentral:rRNA from 1 species